rnacentral:piRNA from 1 species
UGCUCAAAUUGAGAAUAUACCAAAUGUCACA